AUGUUCAGCGGGACGCAGCAGAAGUGCAAGGUGUGCACCAAGACGGUGUACCCCAUGGACCAGCUCUCCACCGACGGCGCCGUCUUCCACCGCGCCUGCUUCAAGUGCCACCACUGCAAGUCCACCCUCUCCUUUAGCAGCUACUCCUCGUUCGAAGGGGUGCCCUACUGCAAGCCCCAUUUCGCGCAGCUGUUCAAGGAGACCGGGAGCUACAACAAGAGCUUCCAAUCACAAUCACCCGCAAAAUCUGCAACGGAGAAGCUGACUCCUGAGCUGACCAGAUCGCCAAGCAAAGCUGCGGGCAUGUUUUCGGGAACACAGGACAAGUGUGCCACUUGUGGUAAAACAGCAUACCCUCUUGAGAAGGUAACAGUUGAAGAGAAGUCCUACCACAAGUCCUGCUUCAAAUGCUCUCAUGGAGGCUGCGCCCUCUCGCCGUCCAACUACGCGGCUUUGGAAGGCAUCCUCUACUGCAAGCACCAUUUCUCCCAGCUUUUCAAGGAGAAGGGGAGCUACAACCAUCUGAUCAAGUGCGCAUCGGUCAAGCGCGCAGCAGAGGCGCAAACAGCCCAGGCGGCAGCACAAACAGCGCCGGCGGCUGCUGAAUCCUCCUGA
rnacentral:rRNA from 1 species